rnacentral:rRNA from 1 species
UACGUAGGUGGCAAGCGUUGUCCGGAUUUAUUGGGUUUAAAGCGUGCGCAGGCGGCGCGUUAAGACAGGUGUGAAAGCCCCGAGCUUAACUUGGGAAUUGCGCUUGUGACUGCAAGGCUUGAGUGCGGCAGAGGGGGAUGGAAUUCCGCGUGUAGCAGUGAAAUGCGUAGAUAUGCGGAGGAACACCGAUGGCGAAGGCAAUCCCCUGGGCCUGCACUGACGCUCAUGCACGAAAGCGUGGGGAGCAAACAGG